AUGGCCGACGCGGGUCAAAGUACAGUAUCUGUUCUUAUCGGCUUAAUAUUUAUUACGGGUUGUAUUUGAACCCAGUAUAUUAAACUUAUUUCGCAAGUUGGCGGAGUGCUUGCAGCCUGCUUCAACUCCACCGCGGGUCGGUCUAGUAUUAAACUAUAUAUCUUCGGGAUCAGCCCCUGUUUU